GGGGAAGGGGGGGGAAAGACAAAGCAACCAAGACCCAGGGAGACAGCAGAGCCAGGCCAGGGAGUGACAGGGCUGGAGCUGGAGUGUGUGCUGAGGUGCCUGUGGGGGCUCACUCCUCACACAGUAUAGGUUCAGUCAGUCUAUGGAAUCCCGAUGGCAAAGAGCAAGGUGGCAGGGGAUGGCAAAGGGAGCGCAGGGGGAACCAUGGAGCAGGCAGCAGGUCCCAGGAAGAGAAAGGAGAGAGGAAGUGGGGAGCCCGGGGAAAGAAGCAGAACGGUGCUGGGCCCUUGGGGACAGACCACAGAAGCACAAGCAGCUUUCCUGGCCCCAGGAAACGGGGUCAAGGGCUUUCACCAGCAGCCUUAAGAUGCAGAAACCAAGCCAGGACCCCCGUGCACCCCAUCAAGCCCAGGGUUCCAGUUCCAUCCCCCCACCCCAAGGCUGGACUUAGACCAGAGACCACACUUGUCCACCACAACUUCCUUGCAAAAACCCUCAGCUCACCCGAGGGCCAAUGGAAAUUUAUUAAUUUUUUUGUCCUUUUCCA